rnacentral:rRNA from 1 species
UACGAAGGGGGCUAGCGUUGUUCGGAAUUACUGGGCGUAAAGCGCACGUAGGCGGCUUGGUAAGUUGGGGGUGAAAUCCCGGGGCUCAACCUCGGAAUUGCCUUCAAGACUGCUUGGCUUGAGUUCGGAAGAGGUGAGUGGAAUUCCCAGUGUAGAGGUGAAAUUCGUAGAGAUUGGGAAGAACACCAGUGGCGAAGGCGGCUCACUGGUCCGAUACUGACGCUGAGGUGCGAAAGCGUGGGGAGCAAACAGG